rnacentral:rRNA from 1 species
UACGGAGGGGGCGAGCGUUAUCCGGAUUUACUGGGUGUAAAGGGAGCGUAGACGGCGUCGCAAGUCUGAAGUGAAAGCCCGUGGCUCAACCGCGGAACCGCUUUGGAAACUGCGAGGCUGGAGUGCUGGAGAGGUAAGCGGAAUUCCUGGUGUAGCGGUGAAAUGCGUAGAUAUCAGGAGGAACACCGGUGGCGAAGGCGGCUUACUGGACAGUGACUGACGUUGAGGCUCGAAAGCGUGGGGAGCGAACAGG